CCUUACUCUUCGACAUAAAAGCACACUAACGCCUUUUAAAAAGCUCGGUUGAGUGUACAGGACAUCAGAACUGUACUAUGGUGUGAAAAGAAGAGACUUUAGAAACAUCUGUGGCGAUUUUCGUCGCGUAACCAACAUAGCGACCGGCGCUUUGGUGGAGUUUGACGUGGCACUCUGCUUUCACUGAGAAGAGGACUCUGCCCGAUAUACAGAUUGUCAAAACCCAUUCAUCUUGGCAUGAGAAGACAGUAACAGCCGUCCCAUCAAAAUGAGUCAACAGGGUUAUGUUGCUGCACCCCCAUACUCCCAGGCCCAGCCAAGGAUGGGGGGCUACCAAGGUGGAUUUGGACCUGGUCCUGCUCAGCCCUAUGGGCACUAUGGGGGAUCACCUCAGGCAUUCAAUGCUCCACCAACAGGUAUGAUGAAACCACCGGUUUCCUCUGCUGCUGGCAUGCCUCCACCUCCAGUUUCCAGUCAUUACAAUCCAAAUGUCCAGCAGAAUGGUGCUCAUCCACAAAGAUACCCUGCUCCACCAACUGGAUCUGCUGCUUAUGGACAACCUCCACAGUCGGCAUACAACAGCAUGGCCUCCCAGGCUCCGCCUCCAGGGCAGCAGCUUGCUAAUCAGAUGAGUGCUAUGAACUUGAACAACUACGCCCAGGGACCCAUGCAGAGCCCUCCUCCUACACCAAACUCUGUAGCCCAGCAGCCUUUCCAAAUGGCCCCUCCUCCAGCAAUGGGCCAGCCGCAGACACCUCCAGGCCCGCAGUCACCCCAAAUGCCACCUCAGAUGUCUCAACCACAGUCACCCCUGACAAACAUGCCAAUAGCAGGCCCACAGAUUGGAGGACCACCAAUGGCAGGCGCACAGAUGGGAGGACCACCAAUGGCAGGCGCACAGAUAGGAGGACCACCAAUGGCAGGCGCACAGAUAGGAGGACCACCAAUGGCAGGCGCACAGAUGGGAGGACCACCAAUGGCAGGCAUGGGUAGACCCUUCCCUGGGCCACCUCCUCCAGGUGCUGGAGGUUUCCAGCAGCCUGGUCCUGGAGCUGCUGGUCCACUUGGAUACCCACAGCAAGCAGGUCCGUUUGGGGGCAUGGCUGGGCCUCAGCCAGGCAUGCCUGGGGGCUUCCCUGGAGCACCAGCCCAACUGGCUGGCCCACCUCAGAAGAAACUGGACCCUGACUCUAUCCCCAGCACAACCCAAGUCAUUGAGGAUGACCAAGCUAAACAAGGAGGACAAGUCUUCAACACAAACAUCAGAGGUCAAGUUCCACCUCUGGUCACCACCGACUUCACGGUACAGGACCAAGGCAAUGCCAGUCCCAGGUUUAUGCGUUGCACCUCCUACUCCUUACCCUGCACCAUCGAUCUGGCCAAACAGUGCCAAGUGCCCCUGGCUACCAUCAUUAAACCCUUUGCCAGUUUGCCAAAGAAUGAGACUCCUCUGUAUGUUGUGAACCAUGGUGAGACAGGCCCCAUCCGCUGCAAUCGAUGCAAGGCCUACAUGUGUCCCUCCAUGCAGUUUAUUGAUGGCGGUCGUCGCUACCAGUGUGGUUUCUGCAACUGUGUAAAUGAAGUGCCAGUCUUCUAUUUCCAACAUCUUGAUCACAUGGGCCGGAGGGUGGACUUCUAUGAGAGACCUGAGUUGUCUCUGGGAUCCUAUGAGUUUGUAGCCACCCUGGACUAUUGCAAGAACAACAAGCCUCCAAAUCCUCCCGCCUACAUCUUCAUGAUUGACGUGUCCUAUAACAACAUUAAAAGUGGACUGGUCAAACUGAUAUGUGACGAGCUGAAGACUCUGCUGGACAAGCUGCCCAGCGAGGAAGGUGCGGAGAGCUCGGCGAUAAAGGUCGGCUUUGUCACCUACAACAAGGUCCUCCAUUUCUACAAUGUGAAGAGCGCCCUGGCCCAGCCCCAGAUGAUGGUGGUGUCAGACACAGCCGAGAUGUUCGUCCCGCUGCUCGACGGCUUCCUCGUCAACUACCAGGACUCCAAAGCUGUUAUCUACAAUCUCCUGGACCAGAUCCCUGACAUGUUUGCAGAAACCAACGAGAGCGAAACGGUCUUUGUCCCCGUCAUCCAGGCCGGCGUGGAGGCAUUCAAGGCAGCAGAAUGUAGUGGAAAGCUCUUCAUCUUCCACUCCUCCAUGCCCACUGCUGAGGCUCCUGGCAAACUGAAGAACAGGGAUGACAAAAAACUGGUCAACACUGAGAAAGAGAAAACUCUGUUCCAGCCUCAGAAAGGAGUGUAUGAGCAGCUGUCUAAGGACUGUGUGGCACAAGGCUGCUGUGUGGAUCUCUUCCUUUUUCCCAGCCAGUAUGUGGACUUGACAACCAUGGCUGAUGUGCCCUCACACACCGGAGGCUCUGUCUACAAGUACAAUAACUUCCAGGUGGAGACAGAUGGAGAGCAUUUCCUGAGAGACCUGAGGAAAGAUGUGCAGAAGAGCAUCGGAUUUGAUGCCAUCAUGCGUGUUCGUACCAGUACAGGCUUCAGAGCUACGGACUUCUUCGGUGCCAUCCACAUGAACAACACCACAGAUAUAGAGAUGGCGGCUGUGGAUUGCGACAAGGCCGUGACUGUCGAGUUCAAGCACGAUGACACACUCAGUGAAGAGACCGGAGCACACAUACAGUGUGCCUUAUUGUACACCACCAUCAGCGGGCAGCGACGCCUCCGCAUCCACAACCUCAGUCUGAACUGCACCUCGCAGCUGUCGGAGCUGUACAAGAGCUGUGAGACCGACUCACUCAUCAACUUCUUUGCCAAAUCAGCUUACCGUGCCAUAUUGAACCAGCCUCUAAAGAAUGUGAAGGAGAUCCUGGUCAACCAGACAGCCCACAUGCUGGCCUGCUACAGGAAGAACUGCGCCAGCCCCUCCGCUGCCAGCCAGCUGAUCCUGCCUGAUGCCAUGAAGGUGUUCCCAGUCUACAUGAACAGCCUGAUGAAAACUGCACCUCUGGUCGGCAGCACAGAGCUCUCCACGGACGACAGGGCUCACCAGAGACUGUCGGUCAUGGCAAUGGGGGUGGAGGAAAGUCAGCUGCUGCUCUAUCCACGACUCAUCCCACUGCACAACAUAGACGUGAACAGCGAGGCUCUGCCAGCUCCAGUGCGCUGCUCCGAGGAGCGUCUGGCCGACUCUGGCAUGUUCCUGCUGGAGAACGGCCACUCCAUGUUUCUGUGGCUGGGCCAAGCAAGCCCGCCAGACCACAUCCAGGGCAUCUUUAACCUACCCUCCCUCGCCCACCUGCAAGGACACAUGUGUGCGCUGCCAGAGCUGGACAACCCACUGUCAAAUAAGGUCCGAUCCAUCAUCAGUGGCCUUCUUGAAAAGAGGCCAAACUCCAUGAAACUCCAAAUUGUCAGGCAGAAGGACAAGCCUGAGAUGUUGUUCCGUCAGUUCCUGGUGGAGGAUAAAGGCCUGCACGGCGGAGCUUCCUACAUGGACUUCCUUUGCUACGUUCACCGGGAAAUCAGGCAGCUGCUCACUUAACCCCUCAAAGCUCAGCCCCUUCCUGACUGGCCUGGGAGAAACACAGCGUUAAAACGGACCAUGCUCAAAUCUCACAGGACAGAAGAGGAAACAAGGAACCAGCGAGAGCCUUUUGAGAUUCAACCUCGAGAGUCCAAAGCUGCCUUUCCAACACGCCUUUGCCACCUGUUAGUGUACAUUCAGUAUGAUCUUCAAAUAACCACUUGUCACUAGAGGAACUUCCAUUUUAAUCAGGAGGAAUGAAACGGACAAUAUGCGCACUCACUGCAUUUCCUGCACAUAUCUUGUUUGAUUGACUGAAGAAUGACAUUACCGCCUGAGCCUUCAAUGCAUUUUGGCAUAAGUCCCAUUGGCGUCAGCAAUACAACAUAUACAGUAACAGUCAAAAGUUUGGUUCCAAACUUUUGUCUGUUACUUUAUCUCCACUGUGCAAUGAGUAAAACAUUUUUUAAUAUCACUUUGUAGAUUUGCGCAGUCUGGAUAAGACAAGCGGUUAUUUGUGGGCCAUACUGUAGAUGUUCACUUUGAAAGUCAAUAAAUGAAGCUCGCCAGUCUUUGUUAUACACUUUCUCCCAUGAAGACUAGAUAUGUUAACAGUCUUAGUUAAUGUCGUAAUUUCCUUUUUUUAAAAACAAUAUAUGCUCAAAGAAAUUUUUACAAUAUUUAGAUGACUUUAAAGAGGUUGAAACAGUUUCUCACAAUUGCUGUCAUAGUGUAACAUGUAUUAAAUAAAUGCUUCUUGGAAACUCACAUUAAUUUUAAAUAUAGAGAAUAGUGAUCCAUAAUGCCAGGUCAUUCAUAAUGUAAGAGAAACAAUGGCUAAAUAUAAGCCACUGGGUUUCCAGGACUGAAAGUUGGUCCUGUCACUACACCAUGAGUGAUUCAAAGCAUUCAGAUUUUUCGACCAUUUAUGGCAGAGAUACAAUCUCCACAGUGUGCAGUGACGCAGAAAAUGUUUUGUUUUGGUGCUCUGAGGAUACAAUGAAAAGACCAGCUGUGUUUCUCUUCUUAGAGAGCAAGGACCAACUUGUGUCACGAUGAAGAAUGUCGUCAUGAAUCAUGAACACUUCUUUAUCUUCAGUGCAUGAGUCAGAAUAUGUACACAAAAGCGACUUUUAAGGGAUACUUAUUUAAAUAUGUAAUGAGACCGGUAUGAAAGAGGAAUGGACCGCUGAUGAUGCUGAGAGGUGUCAGGAUUUGCCAACGGAGCAAGUUUAAGGAUGGAAUAUAAAUCUUGUUGCAAUGAUUCAUUUAAGGAAAUACUGUCCAACAUAGCCAUAUUUUUAUGAAAGAGCAAACAAAAGCUGUUUACCUCUGUUAAGACGCACAAAUCAGAUUUGUGGAAUAUAUCAAAAUGUGUGGACAACUGUAAAAUGAUCAGUUACAAGACCAUCAUCAGAUUUUUUGUCACUGUUCAACCAUCCAAAUUCAGUAAAAUCUAGUUACUAAUUACUAUUAUCUGCAAAAUAGUCUGUAAUGAUAAUAUUUAACAUUUCAGUCAUGCGUUUUCAGCCUUGCAUUGUUUUUUAUGGAGGUUGUUGCUUCUGUGUAAUUCAUGUUAUGCAUUUGCUAAAUAUUGUAUGAUCUUGUGUACUUGUGGCCUACAAAAAGUCUUUUUGUACAUGAAAUACGCAACUUGAGUUUAAUAUUACCAUCUGCCUUAAGUUGAUAUAUAAGUGGUUAAAAAUAUGUGUCUUAGAGGUAUAUGUCUGAUUCCAAUCUGUUUGGUUUGUAUGCAAACUUAUCUCAGGUAAUUUGAGUACCUUACUUGUUUAAACAGUGAUUUGAAUUUAACUGGAAAGAUGGAUGGUUGGUUUUUGGGGUAAGACUUGUGAAAAUUCAUGGGCUCGUUGUGCCAUGUACAUUUUUUUUUAUUAAAGGACAGAUGCAAGUCAUACAAUCUACAAUUAAAGCAAUAUUUUUCCUUC